GGGUUGUGAGGUUAAGCGACUAAGCGUACACGGUGGAUGCCCUGGCAGUCAGAGGCGAUGAAGGGCGUGCUAAUCUGCGAUAAGCGCCGGUAAGGUGAUAUGAACCGUUAUAACCGGCGAUACCCGAAUGGGGAAACCCAGUGUGACUCGUCACACUAUCAUUAACUGAAUCCAUAGGUUAAUGAGGCGAACCGGGGGAACUGAAACAUCUAAGUACCCCGAGGAAAAGAAAUCAACCGAGAUUCCCCCAGUAGCGGCGAGCGAACGGGGAGGAGCCCAGAGCCUGAAUCAGCAUGUGUGUUAGUGGAAGCGUCUGGAAAGGCGCGCGAUACAGGGUGACAGCCCCGUACACAAAAGCGCAUGUGCUGUGAGCUCGAUGAGUAGGGCGGGACACGUGGUAUCCUGUCUGAAUAUGGGGGGACCAUCCUCCAAGGCUAAAUACUCCUGACUGACCGAUAGUGAACCAGUACCGUGAGGGAAAGGCGAAAAGAACCCCGGCGAGGGGAGUGAAAAAGAACCUGAAACCGUGUACGUACAAGCAGUGGGAGCCCCACCACUAAGCCAGUGGUGAACUCCACAUACGCAUCCUUUGCUGAGGAUACGGUUAACGGAGCGAAAGCGACGUUCAACCUCAAAAGAAGCAGAGGGGGCUUAGUGGUGGGGUGACUGCGUACCUUUUGUAUAAUGGGUCAGCGACUUAUAUUCUGUAGCAAGGUUAACCGCAUAGGGGAGCCGGAGGGAAACCGAGUCUUAAUUGGGCGUUAAGUUGCAGGGUAUAGACCCGAAACCCGGUGAUCUAGCCAUGGGCAGGUUGAAGGUUGGGUAACACUAACUGGAGGACCGAACCGACUAAUGUUGAAAAAUUAGCGGAUGACCUGUGGCUGGGGGUGAAAGGCCAAUCAAACCGGGAGAUAGCUGGUUCUCCCCGAAAGCUAUUUAGGUAGCGCCUCGUGAAUUCAUCUCCGGGGGUAGAGCACUGUUUCGGCUAGGGGGCCAUCCCGGCUUACCAACCCGAUGCAAACUGCGAAUACCGGAGAAUGUUAUCACGGGAGACACACGGCGGGUGCUAACGUCCGUCGUGAAGAGGGAAACAACCCAGACCGCCAGCUAAGGUCCCAAAGUCAUGGUUAAGUGGGAAACGAUGUGGGAAGGCCCAGACAGCCAGGAUGUUGGCUUAGAAGCAGCCAUCAUUUAAAGAAAGCGUAAUAGCUCACUGGUCGAGUCGGCCUGCGCGGAAGAUGUAACGGGGCUAAACCAUGCACCGAAGCUGCGGCAGCGAACGUAUCACCCAAGACAACUUUACGGAGUUGACGAUUGACGGAGCGAAGCGACGUCAAAGCGUUCAUUAAAGUCGAGUUGGCUUAGGGAUACGUUCGUUGGGUAGGGGAGCGUUCUGUAAGCCUGUGAAGGUGGCCUGUGAGGGUUGCUGGAGGUAUCAGAAGUGCGAAUGCUGACAUAAGUAACGAUAAAGCGGGUGAAAAGCCCGCUCGCCGGAAGACCAA
rnacentral:rRNA from 1 species